UCUCCUUGAUUAAAACUAAUACUUCCCUGUAAUGUACAGAGGUAGAAGAAAGGCUCCGGUCCUCUCAGCAUCAUGCCUUCGGUGCUUGUGGCCUCCCGUUCAUGGGUUUUUUUCUGUUCAUUGUCAAAAAA